rnacentral:rRNA from 1 species
UACAGAGGGUGCGAGCGUUAAUCGGAAUUACUGGGCGUAAAGCGCGCGUAGGCGGCUUUUCAAGUCGAUUGUGAAAUCCCCGGGCUUAACCUGGGAACUGCAGUCGAGACUGUCGAGCUAGAGUCCGGAAGAGGCGAGUGGAAUUCCUGGUGUAGCGGUGAAAUGCGCAGAUAUCAGGAGGAACACCAAUGGCGAAGGCAGCUCGCUGGGACGGUACUGACGCUGAGACGCGAAAGCGUGGGGAGCAAACAGG